rnacentral:rRNA from 1 species
UACGUAGGGCGCAAGCGUUUGUCCGGAAUUAUUGGGCGUAAAGAGCUUGUAGGCGGUUUGUCGCGUCUGCCGUGAAAAUCCGGGGCUCAACCCCGGACUUGCGGUGGGUACGGGCAGACUAGAGUGUGGUAGGGGAGACUGGAAUUCCUGGUGUAGCGGUGAAAUGCGCAGAUAUCAGGAGGAACACCGAUGGCGAAGGCAGGUCUCUGGGCCACUACUGACGCUGAGAAGCGAAAGCGUGGGGAGCGAACAGG